rnacentral:rRNA from 1 species
GGAUGAACGCUGGCGGCGUGCCUAACACAUGCAAGUCGAGCGUGAACCCUUAGAAUGAAACUUCGGUCGAAUGAAGAGGGGGAAAGCGGCGGACGGGUGAGUAACGCGUAGGCAACCUGCCCCGUACAGAGGGAUAGCCUCGGGAAACCGGGAUUAAAACUUCAUAAUACCAUGGUAUCACAUGAUGCAAUGGUCAAAGAUUUAUCGGUAUGGGAUGGGCCUGCGUCUGAUUAGCUGGUUGGUGGGGUAACGGCCUACCAAGGCAACGAUCAGUAGCCGACCUGAGAGGGUAAUCGGCCACAUUGGAACUGAGACACGGUCCAAACUCCUACGGGAGGCAGCAGUGGGGAAUAUUGCACAAUGGGCGAAAGCCUGAUGCAGCAACGCCGCGUGAGCGAAGAAGGCCUUUGGGUCGUAAAGCUCUGUCGGGAAGGAAGAUAAUGACGGUACUUCCCGAGGAAGCCCCGGCUAACUACGUGCCAGCAGCCGCGGUAAUACGUAGGGGGCGAGCGUUAUCCGGAAUUAUUGGGCGUAAAGAGUGCGUAGGUGGUUGUUUAAGCGUGGGGUGAAAGGCAAUGGCUUAACCAUUGUGAGCCUCGCGAACUGGGCGACUUGAGUGCAGGAGAGGAAAGCGGAAUUCCUAGUGUAGCGGUGAAAUGCGUAGAUAUUAGGAGGAACACCAGUGGCGAAGGCGGCUUUCUGGACUGUAACUGACACUGAGGCACGAAAGCGUGGGGAGCAAACAGGAUUAGAUACCCUGGUAGUCCACGCUGUAAACGAUGAGUGCUAGGUGUUGGGUAGCGAUAUUCAGUGCCGGAGUAAACACAAUAAGCACUCCGCCUGGGGAGUACGGUCGCAAGACUGAAACUCAAAGGAAUUGACGGGGACCCGCACAAGCAGCGGAGCAUGUGGUUUAAUCCGAAGCAACGCGAAGAACCUUACCAAGGCUUGACAUCCCCUUGACAGAUGCAGAGAUGUAUCCUCCUCUUAUGAGGCAAGGGAGACAGGUGGUGCAUGGUUGUCGUCAGCUCGUGUCGUGAGAUGUUGGGUUAAGUCCCGCAACGAGCGCAACCCUUAUCCUUAGUUGCCAGCAGGUAAGGCUGGGCACUCUAAGGAGACUGCCGGUGAUAAACCGGAGGAAGGUGGGGAUGACGUCAAAUCAUCAUGCCCCUUAUGUCUUGGGCUACACACGUGCUACAAUGGUCGGUACAACGGGCAGCUAUGGAGCGAUCCGGAGCAAAUCCCAAUAAACCGAUCCCAGUUCGGAUUGCAGGCUGCAACUCGCCUGCAUGAAGUCGGAGUUGCUAGUAAUCGCGAAUCAGAACGUCGCGGUGAAUGCGUUCCCGGGUCU